UGUAAUAUGUAUUGCACUUACUUUUUAUAUAUACAGUUCUUGCAAUUCACGAAGGCGAGUGGCUCAUGCUUGUGUUUAAGUCAUAUCGGUAUAAGUAAGGUACUCUAAAAGUGUGCGUUUGUGAGUGCUUGCUCGCGACUCAUUGGUCCGAAAUGCACGCACACUUACGCAAUGCCCAUGUAUACGACGUAACCACAAGUAAAGUUCACUCGCCUUCGUGAAUUGCAAGAACUGUAA